AUACCGGAUAGGACACUGUCUCGCAUGGGGUGGUGUGGAAAGCUUCGGCGGUACGGGAUGAGCCCGCGGCCUAUCAGCUUGUUGGUGGGGUGAUGGCCUACCAAGGCGACGACGGGUAGCCGGCCUGAGAGGGUGACCGGCCACACUGGGACUGAGACACGGCCCAGACUCCUACGGGAGGCAGCAGUGGGGAAUAUUGCACAAUGGGCGGAAGCCUGAUGCAGCGACGCCGCGUGAGGGAUGACGGCCUUCGGGUUGUAAACCUCUUUCGCCCGGGACGAAGCGUAAUAGUGACGGUACCGGGAGAAGAAGCACCGGCUAACUACGUGCCAGCAGCCGCGGUAAUACGUAGGGUGCGAGCGUUGUCCGGAAUUAUUGGGCGUAAAGAGCUCGUAGGCGGUGUGUCACGUCUGCCGUGAAAACCUGCGGCUUAACCGUGGGCGUGCGGUGGAUACGGGCAUCACUUGAGUUCGGCAGGGGAGACUGGAAUUCCUGGUGUAGCGGUGGAAUGCGCAGAUAUCAGGAGGAACACCGGUGGCGAAGGCGGGUCUCUGGGCCGAUACUGACGCUGAGGAGCGAAAGCGUGGGGAGCGAACAGGAUUAGAUACCCUGGUAGUCCACGCCGUAAACGUUGGGCGCUAGGUGUGGGACGCUGUUCACGUGUUCCGUGCCGUAGCUAACGCAUUAAGCGCCCCGCCUG
rnacentral:rRNA from 1 species